UACUAGAGUAGCACUCGCAUAUCAAUAAGCGGAGGAAAAGAAACUAACAAGGAUUCCCCUAGUAACGGCGAGUGAAGCGGGAAGAGCUCAAAUUUGAAAUCUUAAAGGGUUUCCCUUUACGAAUUGUAGUUUAAAGAAGUGUUUUCUGUUGAGGUUUUGGUAAAAGUUCUUUGGAAUAGGACAUCAUAGAGGGUGAGAAUCCCGUAUUUGACCUUUACUUUCAACUUUGUGAUACACUUUCAAAGAGUCGGAUUGUUUGGGAAUGCAGUCCAAAAUGGGUGGUAAAUUUCAUCUAAAGCUAAAUAUUGGCGAGAGACCGAUAGCGAACAAGUACCGUGAGGGAAAGAUGAAAAGAACUUUGAAAAGAGAGUUAAACAGUACGUGAAAUUGUCAAAAGGGAAGCGUUUGACACCAGUGUUGUUUUUCUGAAAAUCAAUUAAAGAACUGUUUAUGCUAAGUUGUUUAGACUUUAUCAGUUAACUGUUUAGUUUUGAGCUUUUCUUUAAUGCACUUUUCAGUUAACAAGUCAACAUCAAUUUCUUUUGCUGUAAAAAAGCUUGAGGAAGGUGGCUUGAGAUUCGUCUUAAGUGUUUAUAGCCUCUUGCCUAUGCAGUCGGAGAGAUUGAGGUCUGCAGCGUAGAUCCUUCGGGGCUAAAUGCAUUUGUGCUAAGUUAUAGCAUUUUAUAGACAACUUGUUGACUAUGAUUUGUCUUGUAGCUUACUCGCUUAUGUUAUUUUACCUACGCUUAGGAUGUUGAGUAGCGACAUACGCAC
rnacentral:rRNA from 1 species